rnacentral:rRNA from 1 species
GAUGAACGCUAGCUACAGGCUUAACACAUGCAAGUCGAGGGGCAGCAUGGUCUUAGCUUGCUAAGGCCGAUGGCGACCGGCGCACGGGUGAGUAACACGUAUCCAACCUGCCGUCUACUCUUGGACAGCCUUCUGAAAGGAAGAUUAAUACAAGAUGGCAUCAUGAGUCCGCAUGUUCACAUGAUUAAAGGUAUUCCGGUAGACGAUGGGGAUGCGUUCCAUUAGAUAGUAGGCGGGGUAACGGCCCACCUAGUCUUCGAUGGAUAGGGGUUCUGAGAGGAAGGUCCCCCACAUUGGAACUGAGACACGGUCCAAACUCCUACGGGAGGCAGCAGUGAGGAAUAUUGGUCAAUGGGCGAGAGCCUGAACCAGCCAAGUAGCGUGAAGGAUGACUGCCCUAUGGGUUGUAAACUUCUUUUAUAAAGGAAUAAAGUCGGGUAUGCAUACCCGUUUGCAUGUACUUUAUGAAUAAGGAUCGGCUAACUCCGUGCCAGCAGCCGCGGUAAUACGGAGGAUCCGAGCGUUAUCCGGAUUUAUUGGGUUUAAAGGGAGCGUAGAUGGAUGUUUAAGUCAGUUGUGAAAGUUUGCGGCUCAACCGUAAAAUUGCAGUUGAUACUGAAUAUCUUGAGUGCAGUUGAGGCAGGCGGAAUUCGUGGUGUAGCGGUGAAAUGCUUAGAUAUCACGAAGAACUCCGAUUGCGAAGGCAGCCUGCUAAGCUGCAACUGACAUUGAGGCUCGAAAGUGUGGGUAUCAAACAGGAUUAGAUACCCUGGUAGUCCACACGGUAAACGAUGAAUACUCGCUGUUUGCGAUAUACAGCAAGCGGCCAAGCGAAAGCGUUAAGUAUUCCACCUGGGGAGUACGCCGGCAACGGUGAAACUCAAAGGAAUUGACGGGGGCCCGCACAAGCGGAGGAACAUGUGGUUUAAUUCGAUGAUACGCGAGGAACCUUACCCGGGCUUAAAUUGCAGAUGAAUUACGGUGAAAGCCGUAAGCCGCAAGGCAUCUGUGAAGGUGCUGCAUGGUUGUCGUCAGCUCGUGCCGUGAGGUGUCGGCUUAAGUGCCAUAACGAGCGCAACCCUUGUUGUCAGUUACUAACAGGUUCCGCUGAGGACUCUGACAAGACUGCCAUCGUAAGAUGUGAGGAAGGUGGGGAUGACGUCAAAUCAGCACGGCCCUUACGUCCGGGGCUACACACGUGUUACAAUGGGGGGUACAGAGGGCCGCUACCACGCGAGUGGAUGCCAAUCCCCAAAACCUCUCUCAGUUCGGACUGGAGUCUGCAACCCGACUCCACGAAGCUGGAUUCGCUAGUAAUCGCGCAUCAGCCACGGCGCGGUGAAUACGUUCCCGGGCCU